rnacentral:pre_miRNA from 1 species
GCACUGAAAGUGAGAGUUGGAGGAAAACAAACAGAUCCUGGCUAGCUAAUCGCGGUCGCCGAUCAGCUUGUUUUCCUCCAAUAUCUCACCUUCAGUUG